rnacentral:rRNA from 1 species
AGCAGUCGCCACGGUAAUACAGAGGGUGCGAGCGUUAAUCGGAUUUACUGGGCGUAAAGCGUGCGUAGGCGGCUAAUUGAGUCGGAUGUGAAAUCCCCGAGCUUAACUUGGGAAUUGCAUUCGAUACUGGUUAGCUAGAGUGUGGGAGAGGAUGGUAGAAUUCCAGGUGUAGCGGUGAAAUGCGUAGAGAUCUGGAGGAAUACCGAUGGCGAAGGCAGCCAUCUGGCCUAACACUGACGCUGAGGUACGAAAGCAUGGGGAGCAAACAGGAUUAGAGACCCCUGUAGUCCCUGUCUCUUAUAA